rnacentral:rRNA from 1 species
GACGUAGGGGGCGAGCGUUGUCCGGAUUCAUUGGGCGUAAAGAGCUCGUAGGCGGCUUGUUGCGUCGACUGUGAAAACCUGCGGCUCAACCGUGUGGUCUGCAGUCGAUACGGGCAGGCUGGAGUUCGGUAGGGGAGACUGGAAUUCCUGGUGUAGCGGUGAAAUGCGCAGAUAUCAGGAAGAACACCAAUGGCGAAAGCAGCUCUCUGGGACGGUACUGACGCUGAGACGCGAAAGCGUGGGGAGCGAACAGG